ACUCCUACGGGAGGCAGCAGUGAGGAAUAUUGGACAAUGGGGGCAACCCUGAUCCAGCCAUGCCGCGUGCAGGAAGACUGCCCUAUGGGUUGUAAACUGCUUUUGUACAGGAAGAAACAUUCCCUCGUGAGGGAGCUUGACGGUACUGUAAGAAUAAGGAUCGGCUAACUCCGUGCCAGCAGCCGCGGUAAUACGGAGGAUCCAAGCGUUAAUCGGAGUUAUUGGGCGUAAAGGGUGCGUAGGUUGUUAUUUAAGUCAUGUGGGAAAUACCUGGGCUCAACCUGGGAAUGACGGAUGAUACUGAAUGACUAGAGUAUAGUAGAGGGUAGUGGAAUUUCCGGUGUAGCGGUGAAAUGCGUAGAGAUCGGAAGGAACACCAGUGGCGAAGGCGGCUACCUGGACUAAUACUGACACUGAGGCACGAAAGCGUGGGGUAGCAAACAGGAUUAGAUACCCUGGUAGGUCAGU
rnacentral:rRNA from 1 species